AUUGAACGCUGGCGGCAUGCUUUACACAUGCAAGUCGAACGGUAACAGGCCGCAAGGUGCUGACGAGUGGCGAACGGGUGAGUAAUGCAUCGGAACGUGCCCAGUCGUGGGGGAUAACGCAGCGAAAGCUGUGCUAAUACCGCAUACGAUCUAUGGAUGAAAGCGGGGGACCGUAAGGCCUCGCGCAAUUGGAGCGGCCGAUGUCAGAUUAGGUAGUUGGUGGGGUAAAGGCCCACCAAGCCAACGAUCUGUAGCUGGUCUGAGAGGACGACCAGCCACACUGGGACUGGGACACGGCCCAGACUCCUACGGGAGGCAGCAGUGGGGAAUUUUGGACAAUGGGCGCAAGCCUGAUCCAGCAAUGCCGCGUGCAGGAAGAAGGCCUUCGGGUUGUAAACUGCUUUUGUACGGAACGAAAAGGUCUGGGUUAAUACCCUGGGCCGAUGACGGUACCGUAAGAAUAAGCACCGGCUAACUACGUGCCAGCAGCCGCCGUAA
rnacentral:rRNA from 1 species